rnacentral:rRNA from 1 species
AAUCUGCGAUAAGCGCCGGUAAGGUGAUAUGAACCGUUAUAACCGGCGAUACCCGAAUGGGGAAACCCAGUGUGACUCGUCACACUAUCAUUAACUGAAUCCAUAGGUUAAUGAGGCGAACCGGGGGAACUGAAACAUCUAAGUACCCCGAGGAAAAGAAAUCAACCGAGAUUCCCCCAGUAGCGGCGAGCGAACGGGGAGGAGCCCAGAGCCUGAAUCAGCAUGUGUGUUAGUGGAAGCGUCUGGAAAGGCGCGCGAUACAGGGUGACAGCCCCGUACACAAAAGCGCAUGUGCUGUGAGCUCGAUGAGUAGGGCGGGACACGUGGUAUCCUGUCUGAAUAUGGGGGGACCAUCCUCCAAGGCUAAAUACUCCUGACUGACCGAUAGUGAACCAGUACCGUGAGGGAAAGGCGAAAAGAACCCCGGCGAGGGGAGUGAAAAAGAACCUGAAACCGUGU